CAAGGAUAAAGAAAACUCAGAGGUUAAGAGAUGGUUACAGCUUCAUGCCCCUGCCUACUCCAAUAGUAGAAGACAGAUGUGUAACUGCCUUGGCCAUCAUGCAGUUAGUGGGUGCAACAAGACCACAAGUGAAUAAUCCACCAGCUGAAAUCAUCAGGCCUCCAGGAAUGGAAAGCUUUGGGACAUUCUUUCCAGUGAGAGUAGGAGCCUCUGAACUCUGAACUUUCCACCCACAGAGCUCCAUAAGGAUUUGUGUGUAUGCCAUUUGGAACUUAGACAUGGAAAAAUAAUCUUUUAGUAUGGCUCUGAUACUGAAAAUAAUAGGUGAUGUUCAAGUAAAAAUUAAAUAAAACAACCAAGUUCCCUGCACAUAUGUCUGAUUAGGCAGGCCAAAUAUUCUAUGGGAAACAUUAAUUCAACCA
rnacentral:lncRNA from 1 species